rnacentral:rRNA from 1 species
UACGUAGGGGGCAAGCGUUGUCCGGAUUCAUUGGGCGUAAAGCGCGUGUAGGCGGCCAGGUAGGUCCUACGUGAAAACUGGAGGCUCAACCUCCAGCUGUCGUUGGAAACCAUCUGGCUAGAGUCCGGAAGAGGAGAGUGGAAUUCCUGGUGUAGCGGUGAAAUGCGCAGAUAUCAGGAAGAACACCAAUGGCGAAGGCAGCUCUCUGGGACGGUACUGACGCUGAGACGCGAAAGCGUGGGGAGCGAACAGG